AUUAUCGGAGAGUUUGAUCCUGGCUCAGGACGAACGCUGGCGGCGUGCCUAAUACAUGCAAGUCGAGCGGACAGAUGGGAGCUUGCUCCCUGAUGUUAGCGGCGGACGGGUGAGUAACACGUGGGUAAC
rnacentral:rRNA from 1 species